rnacentral:rRNA from 1 species
UACGGAGGGUGCGAGCGUUGUCCGGAAUCACUGGGCGUAAAGGGCGCGUAGGCGGCGCGAGCAGUCGAUCGUGAAAGUCCGGAGCUCAACUCCGGAUCGGCGGUCGAUACUCUCGUGCUUGAGCACUGUAGAGGCAGAUGGAAUUCCGGGUGUAGCGGUGGAAUGCGUAGAGAUCCGGAAGAACACCGGUGGCGAAGGCGGUCUGCUGGGCAGUUGCUGACGCUGAGGCGCGACAGUGUGGGGAGCAAACAGG